AAUAAAACACUAUACUAAAUGCCACUUGUCCAACUAUUAGCACAACAGGUUGCCACGUGUUAUUACUCCAAAAUUCUACAUCUUCAUUUCCCGCCCAUAUAAUCCCAAUAGAUUUCGUCCACAUUCAAAACCCUACAUAUCAGCAUAAUUAUCAGCAUCAGCAUAAAUCAACAUAAUUAAAAAAAAUCGCUGGAGUUUAUAUGCAUAAAAAUAGGAACAUAAUAUGCAAAAAUUAAAAAUGCAAAGUUCGUUAUUUUAUUUGAUUUGAUUUAUAUCCUAAAAUAUAUAUCCUAAAUAUCUUAAACAUCCUUAAUUACCAGAAUUUGAAUCAAUUUGAAUCAAUUCAAAAUAUUUGAUACUGAUUCCUGAUUUAUAGGCUAAAUUUUAUACAUCAACUAUCGGUAAUAUCAUCAUCUUAAUAUUAACCCUUUACACAGAAUUCGACAGAACUGCACUUUCAUUCACAGAAGUUUCUGUCACAGAAAACCAAAAUCAUCAGGUUAGCAUAUCAUCAUCAAUUAUCAGUAUUCAUUCUUUUGAUUUUUUAAUUUGAAAUCUUUCUUCUUCUACUUCUUCAAUCCGAUUCUUACAUGUAAGCAAACAACCUGUAUUGCUAAACAGAGAAUCAAUCAAAACUUUUAAGUAAUCUGCCAAGAAGGAUAGUCCCAAAUAUCUGCAUCAUAAUAAUUGUUGUUUUCAUUGAUUGAUAUCCUUAUUCUUCUACUUCUUCUUCAAUCCAAUUCUUAAAUGUAAGCAAACAAGCUGUAUUGCUAAACAGAGAAUCAAUCAAAACUUUUAAUCAAAACUUCUUCUUCAAUCCGAUUCUUUUCAUUGAUUGAUAUCCUUACCAACUAUCCCUGUUUGAAUUUUCUGUGAACCCCAUAUCUAUUGUCCAAUUUAUUUUCAUGCAUGUGUACCAUGUCUACAUCAUACUUCAUGUUCGAAUAGCAAUGUAAUAUUAUUUAUUGUGUUAUUUUGUUAUUAUCAUAUUCUAUCAUCAUAUUAUUCUUUUCUAACAGUUUUAUAACAAAACUUUUUUUCUCUAACAGUUUUAUUUUUUGCAAUUCAAUGGCAGCAUCAAAUCUUACCUUCAUACCUGAUUUGGAUGUAACCAGGGAUGACUUGACCUUCAAGCUUCGUGUCAUAAACCUUUGGCAUCAAAUGUGUUUCUACAAAAAAACUGAAAUUUGGUCAAUUGAAAUGAUCUUAUUGGAUGAAAAAGUACCUUCCAAAACUUAAUUUGAUAUAUUUCUUACACAUAUUUCGUUAUUUUUUAUUACUUCUAAAGUUUUUAUUGUUGUAUUAAAUAUUUUUAGGGAAACAAAAUCCAAGCAACAGUUUCAAAAAGAAACAUAUAUCGAUUCAAAUAUAUAUUAAAGGAAGGCAUGGCAUUUUACAUCAAAGGUCCAGACUUUGCAGCACUGAAGAUAGAUGCUUUUAGGUUAACUCCUCAAGACCAGAAACUCACAUUCGUCCAACAAACUGUUGUUACAGAGUGUAUCGAUUUUUGUCUCUUUGGUUUGUUGCUUUUCUUUUUUAAUUCAAAUGCAAUAAUAAAUAUGAGUCCAUUUUAAUAACAUGAAUUAUCAGAUGUAUUAUGAAUAUUAUUUUAUCAAGACAAUACUUCGCAUGAAUGAAAGAGAGAGAGAUACCCAUUCCAUGGACUUUUUAGUCAUUAACAAUCCCAAAAUUCUUCUAUGUGUAACCAACAAAGUUGAUAUCUUUGAAUGAAACGAUCUGCAAAUAUAAUAAUAAUAAAAAACAGAAAUUAUUAUGAAAUUUUGAACAUCAAGAAAUUAUUAAAGUAAUACUUUUACGUAUAAGCAAAGACUUUAUUGAGUAAGUAUGUAAUUGAACCCAAAUUACUAAAAAUUAGUAAUGACAUUAUACAAAAUACAUGUUGUAUAAUAAAUCCUCAUUAAUCCUGUGUUAAAAAAAAUGACACCAUUUGGACCGGAUCAGAUCACUACCAAGAACAACAUUUUUUAAAUAGAAUGGUUUACUUUUAGACAAUUAUAUAAAAUUAAGUUAUUCAGUAUUCUACUUUCGAUCACCCAUAAUCACAAAAUAAGGUCACAAGCAUAAAGUUUGAUUUUCUUAAAUAAGUCCCAUUUUAGCAUUAUACCUACUAAACCGUUAAGUUGAAUUUUGACCCAAAAGACCUUUUUGUCCAAUUAGGUCAGUUUUACUUUUUUUUUCUUCUUAAUUUGUCAACUUAAACAUAAAAAUAGCAAUACACUAAUAGGAAACAAUUAAAACAAAAAAUAUAUUUUUUUUUCAUGUUUGUCAUUUUGACAAAUUUCACCCUUUUUUGGUGUCUAUAUAGUUUAAAAGCUUGGCUAAUGUUCGUUGAUCUUAAAUAAUAGGAAAAAUAGGAUAAAAUAAAAACAAUAUAUCAAUAUACGUAAAUUUCCCGUGCAGGGGCAAAACAAUCAUUAUGGUACACAUAUUUCAAAGAAUGGUGUAUAUGACAAAAUACAUAUACAUAAUAGAGGGAUUUGCCCCUGUGGAAAAUACAUUUAAUAAAAUAAACAUUUAAUAAUAAAAGGGAAGCACAAAUAUGUCAACAUAAAACUAUAUUUAUAGUCAUUCUGAUACACAUGUUUAAAUAUAAUCAUAUGUGGAAAUACAUUUAAAAAAGGGCAUAUACAUAACAGAGGGAUUUACUUGAAGAAUACAUUUAAUAAUAAAAUGGAAAGCACAGUUGUGUUAACAUAUGAUUAUAUUUACAGUCAUUAUGGAAACAUCUUUAAAUAUAAUCAUAUGUGGAAACACAUUUAAUAAAAUAAACAUUAUGCAAUUUUAGCAAGUUUACCUUUAUGCCCCUGAUAUGUUAAAAUAUGAUUAUAUUUAAAGUACUUAUAUGCUCCUGGACUAAUAAGAGGACGAUUAAAUGAUAAUUAUGCCCAUAAAGUGGAAUAUAGGUUGAUAACUUGUAAUCACAAUAAAAUGCUAAAUUAAUAGGUUAGAAAUGAAAGUAAGAUGCUCUUAUGGUUAAAAACGAUUAUAUAUCUUUUACAACUCGCACAACAUAUAAAAAUUAAAAUUAUAAUUUAGCAAUGCAUAGAUAGAAGACGCAAUCAAUUUCAGACAAUGAAGCAUUCGUUCACUACUAAGAAUAGUAUGCAUUAGAGUGUCGAUUUUUGUGCAAAUUCGUAGAAAUAAGUGAAAUCGGGUAAAUAUUUCAACAGUUAAUGACAUAAUUAGGUUACAAUCUAUUUUUUUCACAAUAAAACUCAAUAGUGAACUGUAUUUAUGAUAACAACAAUUGUAAACCAACAAUAUCGAUGGUGGUGAAAGAAUAAGGAAACUAACUUAAGUAACUUGACCUAAAUUAAUCAAAAAUAUAUAACAUAUCCUCCUCUUUAUGAAAUACGAAAUUCGAAUUACAUUAGCGGGAUCUUAAAUUUUUCAGAGAUAUAUUCGGAAUCUUAAAUUUUUUCACAUACAUAAAGAGAUCUUAUUACCUCAGGAUUAAAUAAGCAGAAAUUUAUCCUAUUGUCUUCGAGCAGAUUUCAUCUUCAUAAAAAAAAAGCCCUAAUUUUUACCUGUUCAAUACGCGUAUUGAGAAGCCUAUCACCGGUUCAAUAUUAGACCAAACUUAUCGGCUUUCGUUCUGUAACAGCAGCAACUUGAUCCUCUUUCCAAGAUUUCCUGUUUGAUUUUGCACAAGGGCCUCCAUCGUUAUCGCAGCUAUGUUCCCUUCUCAGUUUUCUCUUUUACAUCGUGUUCCCAAAAAGAGGAUCUGUAAAAAACUUUCUACAAAUUUAUUUU
rnacentral:lncRNA from 1 species